UUUGCUCCGCCUGUUUAUCAAAAACAUGGCUCUUUGCUAUAUGAAUAUAAAGAGUCGAGCCUGCCCAGUGAAUUUUUAACGGCCGCGGUACUCUGACCGUGCAAAGGUAGCAUAAUCAUUUGCCUUAUAAUUGAAGGCUAGUAUGAAUGGUUUGACGAGAGCAACACUGUCUCCUUUUUAUUUUCAAGAACUUAACUUUUAGGUGAAGAGGCCUAAAUUUUAUUGAAGGACAAGAAGACCCUGUCGAGCUUAAAAGACAUCAUAGGGCUUAAUAUAUUUUUAAAUAAAUUUUCUAUCAGGCUUUUUAGUUGGGGCGACUAAGGAACAAAAAAAGCUUCUUUUUGAUAAUAAACAAUCAUGUUUGGAUCCGGUAGUAAGCGAUUAAAGAAAUUAGUUACCGCAGGGAUAACAGCAUAAUCUCUCUUAAGAGACCUAAUCGAAAGAGGGGGUUGUGACCUCGAUGUUGGACUAGAA
rnacentral:rRNA from 1 species